AGUUCUUAAGUUGAACUAUCUGGUUCGAUCUCUUGUUCGAGUUUUACCUGUGCAUUAGAUGAGUACUUAUUGUAUGCUUGUUGUUUGUCUGCGAUAGAUUACCCGGAUUGCGCCGCCUGUUACUUCGAAUCUCUAGGACUCGCGGAUCAUCAGCAAGGCAAGUAACACUUUGAUCAUACCUUUUCUACAACCCAGUUUUAUUGCAUUAGAUCCAUCCUCACACAUUGCAUGAUUAGGAUCUAAUUAAAUUGUGGGAUGGGAAGUAGAUGAGGUAGUACCUAUUACCUGUUAUUAUGAAACCUUUGGGAGUUACUUCUACGUUUGCUUAUUAUGCCAUGCUAUGCUAGUAGACGUGGAUUGGGUGAGUGAUAUCCAUGACAGAUGUGAGAUUGAUAAUUUUAAUGGUUUAUCUAAGGUGGCAACUUAAACACACAUCUGGGUGGAUUGAGGCACCUGAUGUCUAUCAGGACUUGCCUGUUUUUCUUUUGGACCGCCACCCAGGCUCAAAGGGAUCAUAAGAUCUUUCAUGCUAAAUACUUACGUGUGCAGCCACAAGCCAUUAUGGGCUCUGGCAUAGUUGACUAAGUCGUGCGAACUCUUACAAGGUAGACUAGCAGAUGUAGGGGAAAGUAGGUGUACCGGUCUAUCCAUCGUAAGGUGCUAGCGCUUCUGAAAGACUGUGUCUCGGUCAUCCGUUUCUCCAACACCGGUAGUGCGAGAAAUCCAACGGAGGCGAUCGAGUCUUGUGGGGAAAAAUGCGCAAACCUCUGCAGAGUGUAACAAACUAACCAUGAUUAGCCAUGUCCCCGGUUAUGGACAAUCUUGAGUAUCUAGUGCUUGAAUAUCAUAUGAAUCUCAUCAUGUUACUUCUAAUUUAAUAUUGUCGGGUUAUUGAUGACUACUUUUAAUUGGGAUUGAGAAUGCUGUCAACCAUUCUCAAUGUUUAACAACCACCAUGAUAGUUAAAUAAAUUUAUUCCUUUGUAGUAGGGAAAAAUUGGCUUUACGCAAAACAGUAACCAUAGAGCUUUCCACCAGCCAAAUAUGCAUAUAGUAUAGCUGUUUCAUUCCAUUACUCUCUAUGUGUUACCUUGCCAGCAUAUUCCAUGUGCUGACCCGUUUCGGGCUGCAACGUUAAUGUUGCAGACUUUUCAGACGACGAUUAAGGUGCUUUUAGGUCGUGGUUCUAUACUCAGUGAUGCCGUUGGAGUUGAUGGACCCAUUUAUCUUCCAAGUCUUCCGCUAUUAUUGAUUUUAGAUGGCCUUAAGACAUAUUUAUGUAAUAAGUUCUCUUCGGAGACAUCGUUGUAAUAAGUGUGUGAUUGCCACUCUGCUAUAAAUCCUUCGAUGUACUGUGUGGUGUCAGCAUUACUGAUCUAGGGAUGACACCGAAGCACAGUAGACUUGAUCCAUUCGGGUCGGGUCGCCACAGAGAUGGUAUCAGAGCACACGCUGACUGUUGGACACGACCACUAAGUUAAAGCCAUAGAUCACUAUUCUCUCCUCAUUUUCUAACCCCUCAUCUUUUCUACUCUUUAGGAUGAAGGACGCGAAGAUUAAGUACGCUCAACUGGAUGAAGGCACACCUUUUGGAUUUCACUUGAAGGAAGUCACCAAGUACCUAAACAUUGGAUUACCAAGUUUCACGGGAACCUUCAAUGCCACUCUGCCUGAAGAGGAGCGCUGGAAGAUUCAAGCUCACGUUCCGGGAAGGACAUUCGCGCCAAUCACGAAGCCCAUAGAUAGUGUUUUCAAUGCACCAACCUGGAGUCUAGGAAAGAGCAUGGCAGCCCAUAUCACCAUAGGACGCAUUGGAGAAGUUUAUCAAGAAGACCUCAAGGACACUAUCUACCAGAUUUGUGGACGCCGAGAUGAACAAUGGGAGUUAGUCACCACCAAGAAGGAUAGAUCCAUUGCAGCAUUCAUCUAGGAGUUAAACCAGCACAUUCGACGCCACGAGAACCAGCUGUGCAAUGAUAUAAUGGAGUUGAAGAAUGCGAAAACAAGGAUCAUCGAGCUAGAAGGAGAAUUGAAGGCUACACGCAAGGACUACAUGGACGAGAUCGUAGCUCUAGCAAGACACAACUGCAAUCUUAAGCAAGAGAUUGAAGAACUCAAGAAGGAGUUAGCAUCCAGGAAGGAAGACAUGUACGUCGCAUGUCCGGACAAUUACAUCAUCAUCGACGACACCGAUUCGGAUCCAAGUGAACCCAACUUUGAAGACGAAGCUGGAGCGGACAUCAUGGAGUCUUCCACCGGUUCAAAUUUCUAGAUGACCACCAAAUAUUAGUAGUAUUUUCCCCCAUGUAAACACUAUAGUUCGAGCACUUUUGCGAUAGCUAAAUCGAUUGUAAGCCCUUGUUUGAUUGAAUGAAGUGAUUUUGUGUGAAUUUGCUCAUGUGCAUUGGGGUAGUGUUUUCUCUUUAGACCUCAUUCUAUUCUUAUAUCUCUUCUUUUCUAAAACCAUCAGAUGCCUUCGAGACGUGACAAUGGAUUUCCAUCGGAGCUCACUCAGUUGAUCCAACAGCAGAAUCAGUUGAUGCAGAUGUUAGUUCAGAAUCAGCAAAACAACAACAACCCACCACCACCACCACCUGUUGACUACUUAGCCCAUUUCCUUAGGCUAAAUCCGCCGGUGUUUUCUAGUAGCAUCGAGCCGAUAGUAGCAGACGAUUGGCUCCGCAAUAUAGGAAGGGAGUUGACCACUGCAGGAUGCAUGGAUGGUGAGAAAGUAAAGUUUGCCGCACAUCAGUUGGAAGGACCCGCGGCCGCAUGGUGGGAGAAUUUCACAGCCACUUUCCCAGUUGACACAGUCACAUGGGAUCAGUUUCAACAAGCUUUCCGCACUACACAUGUUUCAGCAGGAGCUAUGGCCAUGAAGAAGCGUGAGUUUCGCAACUUACGCCAAGGAGGAAGGACAGUUGGCCAGUAUGUCGAUGACUUCAGCAAGUUAGCACGUUAUGCCCCAGAUGACGUUGCGACGGAUGCGGCUAAGCAGGAGAAGUUUCUGGAAGGAUUGAAUGAUGAGUUAAGCAUGCAGUUGAUGGUAGCAAGCUUCAGAAACUACCAGGAGUUGGUAGAUCGUGCCAUCAUGAUCGAAGGGAAGCAACAGCAGAUUGAGAAUCGCAAGAGGAAGUAUGGACAGGGGAAGUAUAACUCUGGAGCCCAGCAGAAGCCCCGUUUUACCCCUAAAUCGGGAUUUCAGUUUCAGCAUACCCAUGGAGGAGGUAGUUCGCACAACCAUAAUGGCCAUAAGAAUGGUAACGGGAAUGGAGGAAGCAACGGCCAGAAUCGAACCACCCCAUCAACCCCAUCCAAGAGAGACUUGAGUCAAGUCACCUGUUUCAAGUGUUCCAAGACCGGACAUUAUGCCAAUGAAUGUCUUGAAGGCCAGAAUGGAAAUGGCAAUGGAAGCUCAGGGAAGAAGCCGAACCCUUUCAAUAGGGGACAGGUGAACCACGUUAACGUGGAGGAGGUUGAAGAUCAGCCUGAUGCAGUAAUCGGUAAGUUUUUGGUUAAGUCAUUUACCGCACUCGUUCUUUUCGAUACUGGUGCAUCACAUUCAUACAUAUCAAGGGGAUUUGUGGAAAAAUAUAGCCUGCCCACUAGGAUUCUUAAAACACCUAUGCUAGUAAGUUCGCCAGGAGCAGAGUACAUGGCCAGUCAAGGAUGUUUUCAAGUGCCAUUAAGCGUAGGAAGGCAUGUUUUCCCAAUGGAUUUAAUCAUUCUGGAGUCCCAGGGACUGGACGUAAUUCUUGGUAUGGAUUGGCUGUCGAUGUAUGGAGGAAACAUCGAUUGUGCUAGUAAGACAAUUUUGCUUACAACGCCAGAAGGAAGAAGGAUCAAGUAUGUAUCCCAGCAUGUGCCAAAUAGGACACAAGUAAAUUGCCUGACAGGAGUAGUGCAGGAGGAAGUACCAGUGGUAAAGGAUUUUCCUGAUGUAUUUCCUGAAGAGUUGCCAGGCAUGCCACCGAAUAGAGACAUUGAGUUUUUGAUUGAGUUAUUGCCAGGUACAUGCCCAAUAUCAAAGAGACCAUACCGGAUGCCAGCAAAGGAUUUGGUAGAAAUUAAGAAUCAGAUUAAGGAGUUAUUGGAGAAAGGUUACAUCCGCCCAAGCUCUUCGCCUUGGGGAUCACCCGUACUUCUAGUGCAGAAGAAGGAUGGAUCAUUACGGAUGGUUGUUGAUUACCGUGGAUUGAAUGAAGUAACCAUCAAGAACAAGUACCCACUCCCAAUGAUUAAUGAUCUGUUUGAUCAUUUGCAAGGAGCUAAAGUGUUUUCCAAGAUCGAUUUGCGAUCAGGGUACCACCAGUUGAAGAUUCGAGAGCAGGACAUACCUAAGACAGCAUUCACCACGAGAUACGGAUUGUACGAGUAUACCGUUAUGUCAUUUGGAUUGACUAACGCACCUGCUUAUUUUAUGAACAUGAUGAACAAAGUGUUUAUGGAGUUUUUGGAUAAGUUCGUCGUAGUGUUCAUUGAUGAUAUCCUGGUUUAUUCGAAGAGUGAAGAAGAGCAUAAGGAACAUUUGUGUUUGGUUUUGGAGAAACUAAGGGAACAUCAGUUAUAUGCCAAAUUUAGCAAAUGUGAGUUUUGGUUGAAGGAAGUAGGAUCCCUCGGACACGUUAUAUCCGGAGAAGGGAUAGCAGUUGACCCCGCAAAGGUUGAGACUGUAACCAAAUGGGAAGCACCAACGACAGUUGGAGAGAUCCGGAGUUUUCUUGGACUCACAGGAUACUAUCGGAGAUUCAUUGAGAACUUUUCAAAGAUUGCAAAGCCCAUGACGGAGUUGUUGAAGAAGGAUACCAAGUUCAAUUGGACUGAGGAGUGUGAUGCUAGUUUCCAGGAGUUGAAGAAACGAUUGGUUACCUCACCAGUGUUGAUUUUGCCAGAUCAGACCAAGGAUUAUGAGGUGUAUUGCGACGCUUCACGUCGAGGACUUGGAGCAGUGCUUAUGCAGGAAGGAAGAGUUGUUUCGUAUGCUUCACGACAACUGAAGCCUCAUGAAUUGAAUUAUGCUACGCAUGAUUUGGAGUUAGCAGCCGUAGUGCAUGCAUUGAAGACAUGGAGACAUUUCCUCAUUGGAAAUCAUUGUGAGGUGUACACGGAUCACAAGAGUUUGAAGUACAUAUUCACGCAGAAGGAGUUGAAUCUUAGACAAAGGAGAUGGUUGGAGCUCAUCAAGGAUUAUGAUAUGAGAUUGCAUUACCAUCCCGGUGAAGCUAAUGUAGUAGCUGACGCAUUGAGCCGCAAGAGCCAUGUCAAUACGUUGAUGACGGGAGAAAUACCCAAGGAGUUAGCAGAAAACCUUCGUGAACUAAGUUUAGAGAUAGUUCCGAGAGGCUAUGUAGCAGCAUUGGAGAUUCAGUCAACAUUGAUGGAUAAAAUCAGAGAAGCUCAGAAGUCUGACAAGGAGAUUGCUGCUAUUAAGGAGAAACUAAGCAAAGGAAAAGCAAAGGGAUUUCGUGAGGAUGAGCACGAUACCCUAUGGUUUGAGGACCGUGUUUAUGUGCCAAAUGACCCGGAGAUCAGGAAGUUGAUUCUACAAGAGGCACAUGAUUCACCAUAUUCGAUUCACCCAGGAAAUACCAAGAUGUAUUUGGAUUUGAAGGAAACAUUCUGGUGGACCGGAAUGAAGAAGGAUAUUGCAGCAUAUGUAGCAGUUUGUGAUGUAUGUCAUAGAGUGAAGGCAGAACAUCAGAAGCCAGCCGGAUUGUUGCAGCCAUUGCCGAUACCCGAAUGGAAGUGGGAUAAGAUAGGCAUGGAUUUUAUCACAGGACUACCCAGGACGAAAGCAGGAUAUGACUCGAUAUGGGUAGUAGUUGGUCGUUUGACGAAGGUAGCACAUUUCAUUCCAGUUAAGACCACUUACACCAGUGCUGAGUUGGCAAAGAUAUACAUGACUAGGAUCAUUUGUUUGCAUGGAGUUCCGAGGAGUAUUGUAUCAGAUAGAGGAACCCAUUUACCUCAAAGUUUUGGAAUCAGUUGCAUGAAACUUUGGGAACCAGGCUAGAAUUCAGCACCGCUUUUCAUCCGCAGACAGAUGGACAGACCGAGAGGGUCAAUCAGAUUUUGGAAGAUAUGCUGAGAGCUUGUGCACUAGAUUAUGGAUCUAGUUGGGAUGAUAAUUUGCCGUAUGCGGGGUUUUCUUAUAACAAUAGUUACCAAACCAGUUUGAAGAUGGCACCUUUUGAAGCUUUUUACGGAAGGAGGAGCAGGACACCGUUGUCAUGGGACGAAGUUGGAGACCGUCAGUUCUUUGGACCCGAUUUGGUCAAAGAGUCUGAACGGAAAGUUAAGUUGAUUCGCGAUAGGCUCAAGGUAGCCCAGUCCAGGCAGAGGAGCUACGCAGGUUCUAAACGCAAGGAGAUAGUUUACGAAACCGGAGACAGAGUGUAUCUCCGAGUAUCCCCACUUCGAGGAGUUAAGCGCUUUGGAGUUAAGGGAAAAUUAGCACCGCAUUUCGUUGGACCGUAUAGAUCUUGCAACGUAUGGGAGAAGUCGCUUAUAAGUUGGAAUUACCAGAGGGACUGUCAGGAGUUCAUGACGUAUUCCAUGUUUCUCAGCUGAAGAAAUGUCACGCCGAGAUGGCGGAGGUACCGUUAAGAGAUACAGUACCUCUAGAAGCGAUUCAGUUGAAGGACAACCUAACGUAUGAGGAGAAACCAGUCAAGAUUCUCGAGUUUGCCAGCAGAAUUACCCGUAGCAAAGUUAUCAAGUUUUGCAAAGUUCAAUGGAACCACCACUCAGAGGAUGAAGCCACCUGGGAGAGAGAAGAAGAUUUGCUCAAGGACCACCCUCACCUAUUUUCUAGCCAACCCGAAUCUCGAGGACGAGAUUCAUCUUAAGGGGGGUAGGUUUGUAACAUCCCAAAUUUUCAAUUUGGAAUGUUAUACACUAGAUCAUCAUGCAUAUCAUAUUUUCUUGCAUUUUGCCGAUCCUAGAAAUUUCACGCAACUUAAGGACCCUCGCAGAGAGUUGGAGAUUUCGCCUUUUUCAUAUUUGAGUUCUUCUCACAUUUUGAAGACAUGAUCAUUGGUUUUGUCGGAGUUUCAUUUGCCUUUUAUUUGGAUAGGGAAAAAUGCAUGUUUUCAAAAAUUGCAUUUUAGGCCCGGAGAAAAGUUCAUUUUGUUCGACUCAUUUUUAGGAGUCGGGGAAAAUUUACUUUGUGAGUUUUGGAGUCCGGUGGAAUUGUUUUUCUGUGUUUUUCCGAGCGCAGAACCGUUUAAAAAAAAUCCCGCGUGCCCCUGGGCCAAAGGCCCAGCCGGCCGGCCAGGAGGCCAGCGCCGCACCGCGCGAGCGCCCAGGCGCCAGGAACCGCCGCCGCCGCCCUUAGUGGAUUCCUAGUAGGACUCUUGUCCUAGUCCGUUUUUUUCUAGAUCUUUCCUAUUCCUACUCUUAUUCCUUGAUCCCUCCUCCAAGCAAACCCUCCCCCUCCCCAAUAUAAAUACCCAAGUACCCCCCCUCUAAAUCAUCAAACCAAAGCCCCAAGCCCCAAGCCUAGAGCCGCGCCACACCCCACGCCCUUGCCGACGCCGCGCCGCCGCCUUGUGCCCGCGCCGCCGCCGCACCUUGCCACCGCCACCGCCGCCCCACGCCCCCGUCGCCGGAGACCUCGCCCGAGGUAGCCCCGCGCCGCAUCUCUUCUUUUCAUCGGAUCGUUUUCUUCUAAAUCGUUCCGAUUCUUUUCUUCUCUUCCGAUUCAUUUUCUUCUCUUAACCGUUCCGGUUUUCUAGAUCGGUUUUUCGUUUCGAUCUCUUUUUUCGAAACCCUAGAUCGGAUUCGUUUUCUUUUCCGAUUUAGUUGCCUCGAGACCGUUCGCCGGACCGUUCGUCCUAACGAACGUGAUCACCGGAUUCUUCUAGGUUAACGAACGUCCGUUCGUUUAACCGUUCUUCUUUUUCUUUUCAUCGGAUUUAUUCCGCGAUCGCGAUCUCAAAUCCGAUCUUCGUUCUAGUUUAUCUUCUCGCUCGUUUAUCGGAAUCAGGUGAUUCAAGCGCCUGGAGUUUCGUUUCGAAACUGCCGUUCCGAUUAAUCAACUUAAACCAGUUUUUGCUACAGUAAAAUUUGACCUAGUUUCAACUUGCUAGAACCGAGUUGUUUUCUUCCGCCGUUUGUUUUCGGUUUCUUUGUUUGGUUCUUUCUUUCUUUGCAACCGGAGUUCUUAAGUUGAACUAUCUGGUUCGAUCUCUUGUUCGAGUUUUACCUGUGCAUUAGAUGAGUACUUAUUGUAUGCUUGGUGUUUGUCUGGGAUAGAUUACCCGGAUUGCGCCGCCUGUUACUUCGAAUCUCUAGGACUCGCGGAUCAUCAGCAAGGCAAGUAACACUUUGAUCAUACCUUUUCUACAACCCAGUUUUAUUGCAUUAGAUCCAUCGUCACACAUUGCAUGAUUAGGAUCUAAUUAAAUUGUGGGAUGGGAAGUAGAUGAGGUAGUACCUAUUACCUGUUAUUAUGAAACCUUUGGGAGUUACUUCCACGUUUGCUUAUUAUGCCAUGCUAUGCUAGUAGACGUGGAUUGGGUGAGUGAUAUCCAUGACAGAUGUGAGAUUGAUAAUUUUAAUGGUUUAUCUAAGGUGGCAACUUAAACACACAUCUGGGUGGAUUGAGGCACCUGAUGUCUAUCAGGACUUGCCUGUUUUUCUUUUGGACCGCCACCCAGGCUCAAAGGGAUCAUAAGAUCUUUCAUGCUAAAUACUUACGUGUGCAGCCACAAGCCAUUAUGGGCUCCGGCAUAGUUGACUAAGUCAUGCGAACUCUUACAGGGUAGACUAGCAUAUGUAGGGGAAAGUAGGUGUACCGGUCUAUCCAUCAUUAGGUGCUAGCGCUUCUGAAAGACUGUGUCUCGGUCAUCCGUUUCUCAAACACCGGUAGUGCGAGAAAUCCAACGGAGGCGAUCGAGUCUUGUGGGGAAAAGUGUGCAAACCUCUGCAGAGUGUAACAAACUAAUCAUGAUUAGCCGUGUCCCCGGUUAUGGACAAUCUUGAGUAUCUAGUACUUGAAUAUCAUGUGAAUCUCAUCAUGUUACUUCUAAAUUAAUAUUGUCGGGUUAUUGAUGACUACUUUU
rnacentral:lncRNA from 1 species